rnacentral:rRNA from 1 species
CAGCAGCCGCGGUAACACGUAGGUGGCAAGCGUUGUCCGGAAUUAUUGGGCGUAAAGCGAGCGCAGGCGGUUAGAUAAGUCUGAAGUUAAAGGCUGUGGCUUAACCAUAGUACGCUUUGGAAACUGUUUAACUUGAGUGCAAGAGGGGAGAGUGGAAUUCCAUGUGUAGCGGUGAAAUGCGUAGAUAUAUGGAGGAACACCGGUGGCGAAAGCGGCUCUCUGGCUUGUAACUGACGCUGAGGAGCGAAAGCGUGGGGAGCGAACAGGAUUAGAUACCCCCGUAGUCCCUGUCUCUUAUACC